CGAGCGAAUGGAUUAAGAGCUUGCUCUUAUGAAGUUAGCGGCGGACGGGUGAGUAACACGUGGGUAACCUGCCCAUAAGACUGGGAUAACUCCGGGAAACCGGGGCUAAUACCGGAUAAUAUUUUGCGCUGCAUGGCGCGAAAUUGAAAGGCGGCUUCGGCUGUCACUUAUGGAUGGACCCGCGUCGCAUUAGCUAGUUGGUGAGGUAACGGCUCACCAAGGCAACGAUGCGUAGCCGACCUGAGAGGGUGAUCGGCCACACUGGGACUGAGACACGGCCCAGACUCCUACGGGAGGCAGCAGUAGGGAAUCUUCCGCAAUGGACGAAAGUCUGACGGAGCAACGCCGCGUGAGUGAUGAAGGCUUUCGGGUCGUAAAACUCUGUUGUUAGGGAAGAACAAGUGCUAGUUGAAUAAGCUGGCACCUUGACGGUACCUAACCAGAAAGCCACGGCUAACUACGUGCCAGCAGCCGCGGUAAUACGUAGGUGGCAAGCGUUAUCCGGAAUUAUUGGGCGUAAAGCGCGCGCAGGUGGUUUCUUAAGUCUGAUGUGAAAGCCCACGGCUCAACCGUGGAGGGUCAUUGGAAACUGGGAGACUUGAGUGCAGAAGAGGAAAG
rnacentral:rRNA from 1 species